UGGGGGAUAGCCUUUCGAAAGGAAGAUUAAUACCGCAUGUGGUCUUCGGACCAAAGAUGCCUUCGGGUGUCGCUUUGAGAUUGGCUCGCGGCCUAUCAGUUAGUUGGUGAGGUAACGGCUCACCAAGACAACGACGGGUAGCUGUUCUGAGAGGAAGAUCAGCAACACUGGAACUGAGACACGGUCCAGACACCUACGGGUGGCAGCAGUCGAGAAUCAUUCACAAUGGACGAAAGUCUGAUGGUGCAACGCCGCGUGGAGGAUGAAGGCCCUAGGGUCGUAAACUCCUGUCAUAUGAGAGUAAAGAUUUAUCGUUAAUACCGGUGGGUCCUGAUAGUAUCUCAAGAGGAAGGGACGGCUAACUUCGUGCCAGCAGCCGCGGUAAUACGAAGGUCCCAAGCGUUGUUCGGAAUCACUGGGCGUAAAGCGUGCGUAGGCGGCUUGGUAAGUCAGAUGUGAAAGCCCAGGGCUCAACCUUGGAACUGCAUCCGAUACUGCCAGGCUAGAGUAGUGGAGGGGAGUCUGGAAUUCACGGUGUAGCAGUGAAAUGCGUAGAUAUCGUGAGGAACACUAGUGGCGAAGGCGAGACUCUGGACACUUACUGACGCUGAGGCACGAAGGCUAGGGUAGCGAAAGGGAUUAGAUACCCCUGUAGUCCUAGCAGUAAACGGUGUGCGUUUGGUGUGGGCGGGUUCGACCCCGUCCGUGCCGGAGCUAACGCGUUAAACGCACCGCCUGGGGAGUACGGUCGCAAGACUAAAACUCAAAGAAAUUGACGGGGACCCGCACAAGCGGUGGAGUAUGUGGCUUAAUUCGAUGCAACGCGAAGAACCUUACCUAGGCUUGACAUGUAUGUCGUAGUUCACGAAAGCGUGUGACCCUUCGGGGAUCUUACACAGGUGCUGCAUGGCCGUCGUCAGCUCGUGUCGUGAGAUGUUUGGUUAAGUCCAGCAACGAGCGCAACCCCUGUGAAUAGUUGCCAGCGCGUAAUGGCGGGGACUCUAUUCAGACUGCCCAGAUCAACUGGGAGGAAGGUGGGGACGACGUCAGGUCAGUAUGGCCCUUACGCCUAGGGCUGCACACGUACUACAAUGCCCAGCACAAUGAGAACCGAGACCGCGAGGUGGAGGAAAUCUAUAAAACUGGGCCCAGUUCGGAUUGGAGGCUGCAACUCGCCUCCAUGAAGUCGGAAUCGCUAGUAAUGCCGUAUCAGCUACGACGGCGUGAAUACGUUCCCGGGUCUUGU
rnacentral:rRNA from 1 species